rnacentral:rRNA from 1 species
AGAUUUUAUCCUGGCUCAGAUUGAACGCUGGCGGCAUGCUUUACACAUGCAAGUCGAACGGUAACAGGCCGCAAGGUGCUGACGAGUGGCGAACGGGUGAGUAAUGCAUCGGAACGUGCCCAGUCGUGGGGGAUAACGCAGCGAAAGUUGCGCUAAUACCGCAUACGAUCUAUGGAUGAAAGCGGGGGACCGUAAGGCCUCGCGCGAUUGGAGCGGCCGAUGUCAGAUUAGGUAGUUGGUGGGGUAAAGGCUCACCAAGCCGACGAUCUGUAGCUGGUCUGAGAGGACGACCAGCCACACUGGGACUGAGACACGGCCCAGACUCCUACGGGAGGCAGCAGUGGGGAAUUUUGGACAAUGGGCGCAAGCCUGAUCCAGCAAUGCCGCGUGCAGGAAGAAGGCCUUCGGGUUGUAAACUGCUUUUGUACGGAACGAAACGGUCUUGGUUAAUACCCGGGGCUAAUGACGGUACCGUAAGAAUAAG